GACGAACGCUGGCGGCGUGCUUAACACAUGCAAGUCGAACGGAAAGGCCCUGCUUUUGUGGGGUGCUCGAGUGGCGAACGGGUGAGUAACACGUGAGUAACCUGCCCUUGACUUUGGGAUAACUUCAGGAAACUGGGGCUAAUACCGGAUAGGAGCUCCUGCUGCAUGGUGGGGGUGGGAAAUUUUCGGCGUUUGGGGAUGGACUCGCGGCUUAUCAGCUUGUUGGUGGGGUAGUGGCUUACCAAGGCUUUGACGGGUAGCCGGCCUGAGAGGGUGACCGGCCACAUUGGGACUGAGAUACGGCCCAGACUCCUACGGGAGGCAGCAGUGGGGAAUAUUGCACAAUGGGCGGAAGCCUGAUGCAGCAACGCCGCGUGCGGGAUGACGGCCUUCGGGUUGUAAACCGCUUUCGCCUGUGACGAAGCGUGAGUGACGGUAAUGGGUAAAGAAGCACCGGCUAACUACGUG
rnacentral:rRNA from 1 species